UUCCCUUUCUGGUGUUCCAGUUCAGUGGUGGCUUCCCUGUAAUUGGUUAUGUGAGAACGAAGUUUAGCAUCUUGUCAUGUGGGAUUCUUUGUUCUAAAGCUAUGCCCAAAGGAGAAGAAUAUAAUGCGUGAUGCAACACUUCCAUUGGACAUGUAUGGAUAGAUAAGUAGCCUCUCGGUGGCAGUCAUGCAGAACCCGCAGAGCCUAAGGAGAUUCCGGUGCACUGCCAAGCUGAUCAUCUCGACUUCAGUCUGAAAUUGCAAUUCCCCGCCUGCGGCAUUUCCAUCUUUCAGCCUCUUGACUGCUACUAUAGUUCCAUCUGGGAGCUUCCCUCGAUAAACAUUUCCAAAACCGCCUUUUCCUAUCAUGUUCUUGCUGCUGAA